rnacentral:tRNA from 4 species
GCAGGGGUUCCCGAGUGGCCAAAGGGAUCAGACUGUAAAUCUGACGCGCAAGCUUCGAUGGUUCGAAUCCAUCCCCCUGCACCA